rnacentral:rRNA from 1 species
UACGAAGGGGGCUAGCGUUGUUCGGAAUCACUGGGCGUAAAGGGCGCGUAGGCGGGUGCUCAAGUCCGGGGUGAAAUCCUCCAGCUCAACUGGAGAACUGCCUCGGAUACUGGGUGCCUCGAGGGUGGUAGGGGUAUGCGGAACUAUCGGUGGAGCGGUGAAAUGCGUUGAUAUCGAUAGGAACUCCGGUGGCGAAGGCGGCAUACUGGACCACAUCUGACGCUGAGGCGCGAAAGCCAGGGGAGCAAACGGG